AUUGAACGCUGGCGGCAGGCCUAACACAUGCAAGUCGAGCGGAUGAAGAGAGCUUGCUCUCUGAUUCAGCGGCGGACGGGUGAGUAAUGCCUAGGAAUCUGCCUGGUAGUGGGGGACAACGUUUCGAAAGGAACGCUAAUACCGCAUACGUCCUACGGGAGAAAGUGGGGGACCUUCGGACCUCACGCUAUCAGAUGAGCCUAGGUACGAUUAGCUAGUUGGUGAGGUAAAGGCUCACCAAGGCGACGAUCGUUAACUGGUCUGAGAGGAUGAUCAGUCACACUGGAACUGAGACACGGUCCAGACUCCUACGGGAGGCAGCAGUGGGGAAUAUUGGACAAUGGGCGAAAGCCUGAUCCAGCCAUGCCGCGUGUGUGAAGAAGGUCUUCGGAUUGUAAAGCACUUUAAGUUGGGAGGAAGGGCAGUAAGUUAAUACCUUGCUGUUUUGACGUUACCGACAGAAUAAGCACCGGCUAACUUCGUGCCAGCAGCCGCCGUAAGAC
rnacentral:rRNA from 1 species